UACGGAAGGGGCAAGCGUUGUUCGGAAUCAUUGGGCGUAAAGGGCGCGUAGGCGGUCGCGUAUGUCUGCUGUAAAAGCCCACGGCUCAACCGUGGAGGGUCGGUAGAAACUGCGCGACUUGAGGCUGGGAGAGGCUGGUGGAAUUCCCUGUGUAGCGGUGAAAUGCGUAGAUAUAGGGGAGAACACUCGUGGCGAAGGCGGCCAGCUGGACCAGUCCUGACGCUGAGGCGCGACAGCGUGGGGAGCAAACAGGAUUAGAAACCCCCGUAGUCC
rnacentral:rRNA from 1 species